UACGGAGGAUGCAAGCGUUAUCCGGAAUGAUUGGGCGUAAAGCGUCCGCAGGUGGCUGUGUAAGUCUGCUGUCAAAGAGCGAAGCUCAACUUCGUAAAGGCAGUGGAAACUACACGGCUAGAGUGCGUUCGGGGCAGAGGGAAUUCCUGGUGUAGCGGUGAAAUGCGCAGAUAUCAGGAGGAACACCGAUGGCGAAGGCAGCUCGCUGGGACGGUACUGACGCUGAGGAGCGAAAGCGUGGGGAGCGAACAGG
rnacentral:rRNA from 1 species